rnacentral:tRNA from 1 species
AUUUAGAAAUGUAAGACAUUGUAAGAGCUGCUAACUCUCACUAUAGCGGUUAAAUUCCGUUAACAUU